rnacentral:rRNA from 1 species
AGAGUUUGAUCCUGGCUGAGAGUGAACGCUGGCGGCGUGCCUAACACAUGCAAGUCGAACGAGAACGGGUUUAGUUUACUAAACUGUCAGCUAAGUGGCGCACGGGUGAGUAAUAUAUAGUUAACCUGCCCCAAAGAAGAGAAUAAUUGUUGGAAACGACUUGUAAUGCUCUAUAUGCCUUUAAGACAUAAGUCUGCAAGGGAAAUAUUUAUAGCUUUGGGAUGGGACUGUACGGUAUCAGCUUGUUGGUGAGGUAAUGGCUCACCAAGGCUAUGGCGCCUAACUGGUUUGAGAGGAUGAUCAGUCACACUGGAACUGAGACACGGUCCAGACUCCUACGGGAGGCAGCAGUGGGGAAUAUUGCACAAUGGAGGAAACUCUGAUGCAGCAACGCCGCGUGGAGGAUGACACAUUUCGGUGCGUAAACUCCUUUUAUAUGAGAAGAUAAUGACGGUAUCAUAUGAAUAAGCACCGGCUAACUCCGUGCCAGCAGCCGCGGUAAUACGGGGGGUGCAAGCGUUACUCGGAAUCACUGGGCGUAAAGAGCAUGUAGGCUGGUUUGUAAGUUGGAAGUGAAAUCCUAUGGCUUAACCAUAGAACUGCUUCCAAAACUGCAGACCUAGAAUAUGGGAGAGGUAGAUGGAAUUUCUGGUGUAGGGGUAAAAUCCGUAGAGAUCAGAAGGAAUACCGAUUGCGAAGGCGAUCUACUGGAACAUUAUUGA